GAUGAACGCUGGCGGCGUGCUUAACACAUGCAAGUCGAACGAUGAACCGGGUGCUUGCACUCGGGGAUUAGUGGCGAACGGGUGAGUAACACGUGAGCAACCUGCCCCUGACUCUGGGAUAAGCGCUGGAAACGGCGUCUAAUACUGGAUAUGUCCCGUCACCGCAUGGUGUGCGGGUGGAAAGAUUUUUCGGUUGGGGAUGGGCUCGCGGCCUGUCAGCUUGUUGGUGAGGUAAUGGCUCACCAAGGCGUCGACGGGUAGCCGGCCUGAGAGGGUGACCGGCCACACUGGGACUGAGACACGGCGCAGACUCCUACGGGAGGCAGCAGUGGGGAAUAUUGCACAAUGGGCGGAAGCCUGAUGCAGCAACGCCGCGUGAGGGAUGACGGCCUUCGGGUUGUAAACCUCUUUUAGCAGGGAAGAAGCGAGAGUGACGGUACCUGCAGAAAAAGCACCGGCUAACUACGUGCCAGCCGCCGCGGUAA
rnacentral:rRNA from 1 species